AAACUUUUAGCAACGGAUCUCUUGGCUCUGGCAUCGAUGAAGAACGCAGCGAAAUGCGAUACGUAAUGUGAAUUGCAGAAUUCAGUGAAUCAUCGAAUCUUUGAACGCACAUUGCGCCCGCCAGCACUCUGGCGGGCAUGCCUGUUCGAGCGUCAUU
rnacentral:rRNA from 1 species